AAGUCCUCAUGGCCCUUACGUGUUGGGCUACACACGUGCUACAAUGGUAUUUACAAUAGGAAGCAAGAUGGCGACAUCAAGCAAAUCCUAAAAAAAUACCUCAGUUCGGAUUGUACUCUGCAACUCGAGUACAUGAAGCUGGAAUUGCUAGUAAUCGCGGAUCAGCGCGCCGCGGUGAAUACGUUCCCGGGUCUUGUACACACCGCCCGUCACACCAUGGAAGUUGGUUCUACCUUAAGGCAAAGCAUAAAAUCUUUGACCACGGUAUAGUCAGCGACUGGGGUGAAGUCGUAACAAGGUAGCCGUAGGGGAACCUGCGGCUGGAUUACCUCCUUU
rnacentral:rRNA from 1 species